AAUAAACGCAGCCAUAAGUUUUCGUGUUCAAUUUUGAUUAUCAGUCUUAUUUAAUUUUUUUUUAUGAUUAGUAUUUUUAUUGUUAUUAGAUUAUAAAACAUGAAUAACACUUUAUGCAUGACUUGUGUUUUUUACUUUUUUUUAAAAAAAAUGAAAUAAGAAGGACGAUUAAAAUUGGAUACAGAAACUUAUAACUGUGUUUAUU
rfam:Oryza barthii chromosome 3, whole genome shotgun sequence.